rnacentral:rRNA from 1 species
GACGAACGCUGGCGGCGUGCUUAACACAUGCAAGUCGAACGGUAAGGCCCUUCGGGGUACACGAGUGGCGAACGGGUGAGUAACACGUGGGUGAUCUGCCCUGCACUUCGGGCUAAGCCUGGGAAACUGGGUCUAAUACCGGAUAGGACCACUGCCUGCAUGGGUGGUGGUGGAAAGCUUUUGCGGUGUGGGAUGGGCCCGCGGCCUAUCAGCUUGGUGGUGGGGUGAUGGCCUACCAAGGCGACGACGGGUAGCCGGCCUGAGAGGGUGACCGGCCACACUGGGACUGAGAUGCGGCCCAGACUCCUACGGGAGGCAGCAGUGGGGAAUAUUGCACAAUGGGCGCAAGCCUGAUGCAGCGACGCCGCGUGAGGGAUGACGGCCUUCGGGUUGUAAACCUCUUUCAGCACCGACGAAGCGCAAGUGACGGUAGGUGCAGAAGAAGGACCGGCCAACUACGUGCCAGCAGCCGCCGUAA